UGAGAGAGAGAAAUAUGAGCAUGGUGGUGGGAGAUUAGAUGAUAAUGUUGCAUGGAAAAUAACAGGCCAUGCAAAAGAGAGAGGGCGGGGAGAUUAAUGGAGGAGGGGAAUGAAUUGGAGUUAUAAAACCCACUCAUUAGUGGGGGACAGGAUUAAUGGAGAAGGGGAGUGGACUGGAGUUAUAAAGCCCACUUAUUAGUGAAAUAUAGUGUGGGCGUGUUUGGUUAGCUUCUUUUUUACCAUGAAAUUGGAAUCGGAAUCGGAAUGGGCGAAUUUGUUUGUAGGUGUUUGGUACAUAGGAGUUCCAUUCCGAUUCCAAUUCCUGAGUGGAAUGGGAAUCCCCCAAUCACCCCUUUUCCAAUCCGGCCUAGGAGGCCGGAUGGGAAGUUGGAUCCAUACGGAAUAGACAUUUAUUAGGAUUAAAUUUAUUUUUUCAACUUUUUUAAUUAAAAUAUGAGUUUAAAUUUAGAAAUCAAAUAUAUAAUUUUAAAUUUUAAUUUGAAUUUGAAUUAAAAAUUAAAAUUUCAUCAAGUAUUUCGAAUCUAACUUAUGAAUUUGAAUUUAAAUUAAAUUUUAAUUUAUAUAAAGUUUUAU
rnacentral:lncRNA from 1 species